UGCCCGGUAGCCAAGCGGUAAGGCAUCGGGUUUUGGUCCCGUGACGCGCAGGUUCGAAUCCUGCCCGGGCAACAA
rnacentral:tRNA from 1 species